AUUGAACGCUGGCGGCAGGCUUAACACAUGCAAGUCGAGCGGGGGAAGGUAGCUUGCUACCUAACCUAGCGGCGGACGGGUGAGUAAUGCUUAGGAAUCUGCCUAUUAGUGGGGGACAACAUUUCGAAAGGGAUGCUAAUACCGCAUACGCCCUAAGGGGGCAAGCAGGGGAUCUUCGGACCUUGCGCUAAUAGAUGAGCCUAAGUCGGAUUAGCUAGUUGGUGGGGUAAAGGCCUACCAAGGCGACGAUCUGUAGCGGGUCUGAGAGGAUGAUCCGCCACACUGGGACUGAGACACGGCCCAGACUCCUACGGGAGGCAGCAGUGGGGAAUAUUGGACAAUGGGGGGAACCCUGAUCCAGCCAUGCCGCGUGUGUGAAGAAGGCCUUUUGGUUGUAAAGCACUUUAAGCGAGGAGGAGGCUACCGAGAUUAAUACUCUUGGAUAGUGGACGUUACUCGCAGAAUAAGCACCGGCUAACUCUGUGCCAGCCGCCGCGGUAAGAC
rnacentral:rRNA from 1 species